UUAUCAACAACAGUCAACAGUUGUUAACAAAUAACGAUGACAACGAGCAACAACGUGCAAAACCCGACCCCCAGACCCGAUUUCGUCACUAACUCAAUACACAAACGACGUAACAGCGACAACCUCAACAACAGCGUACAAUUUCAAUGCUGUAACCACAAGCAGCCAACAACGACGGUAGCACCACAUCAAUAACGACAAAAUUCCAGACGUCUCAUUUACUAUUUUGCCUUGUCAGAUAGUCUUUUAUGGAUAAAAUGCAGAAUGCUCUCAUCUUUUCAGUUGGUGGUUCAUCAAUUUGGGGAAAAAAUCAAUUCACCUCCUUUGACCAAGCAAAGUAACGACUCUUUCCUCCUUCUCUCCACUGAUUUUUGAGUACAAAAUAUGGCCUUUGUCUCACUAUGGAUGUGAAACUUUUUUAAGAAUUGGUUGAAAUUUUAGAUUUGAAAUCCAUCCUUUUUUCAAAAUUCGAAACCCAUUUUCUCCCCCAAUUUAUCUUAUAAAUAGUGGUUGAAGGAUACGGGAAAAGAGGAGGAAUUUUAGGAAAAAAAAGGGUGUUCUGGAGACGCGUGUCUCUAACCUCACGCAACCAAAAAUCCGGAAAGAAAACUCGAAAAAUCAAUUUCCAACGAAUUCAGUUGAACACUAUUGAUUUUGGAAUCUAGUUUUGGCCGUGGUGAAGGUUUCAUCCUUGAAAAACUCGUAAUCCCAUUCGCUGCCCGGGAAAAAGGUUAACACAUCUUCCUUUUUUCUUUUAGUUGAUUGUUCUUCACCGUCUUCUUUAUAGACUUCUCUCGUUAUCAUAAUGGCUGAGACUGUUUAGUUGAUUGUUCUUCACCGUCUUCUUUAUAGACUUCUCUCGUUAUCAUAAUGGCUGAGACUGUUUGCUGUAGGAACUUAGGAUUUUCUUAUAUUUUUUGUCGAUUUGGUGGCUGUGUUCCUGUAGUUCCUAGGCUGCAUCUUAUUAUGUUUCGUUAUUUGUGUUGUUUGGUGGUAUGUCAGAUUUUGAAAUUAUUUAUUCUUUUUCUUGUUUGUUGCGGGAAUGAAAAUUCACUCAACAAGUUAAACUUCUGUGUGGAUUUCUUGAUUUUGUUAAUAAGUAUAUUUUGUCAAAGAGAAAAUUUGCCUUUUUGUUUCUCUGUAUUGCUUGGAAAACAGUGGCUCGGAAGUCGAUUUUCCUUUUUCCAUUGCUUUCCAUAUUGGUUAUUAGUGUUUACGGAUGUACCAAAUAAAUUUUACUUCCUUAGAUUUGCCUUGUCAUUGGUUUUGUUAUUUGAAAUAGAAUAAUGUCUCUCUAAAGUUGGCACGAUUAAUUCAUUCUCUUGCAAAUAAUUCAUUGUGCUGCAUUUGAUCCAUCUUCUACGUGCACGUUGCAAUUGCCGUUUAAAAUUCGAUAUUGUCUUGAAAUUUCUAAACUCUUUUACUCCAUACAAAUUAAUUCUAGAGUUAAUAGUGGACAUAUAUUAAUAACAAUUUUUUAAGUGUUGCUUUCUUAACUAGUUAUAUUAGUACUAUUUGAAUAAAUUCCAAUCUUUAUAUUUUCUUGAUGCACGUGACACCGACUUGAGUCUCAGCGGACUCCAUUUCCUACAUUUCUCGAUGGACUAGGCCUACAUCUUCUACAAGUUCCAAAUGCCUUCAUUUUUGAAGGAACGAGGCUGGUAUACAUUUGUAUAAGCCUGAUAUAUGAGGUUUACAGGUUAAAAGUGGCUGAUAUAAGUCAAGAGAUGACUUAUGGUAAAGCUAGCAAGAAUAAAAGGUUUUCCAUGCUGUUAUACAGCGUAUAUACAGAAAAAAUGCAGUAAAACGAGGCUGAUAUACAGUCAGUAUACAGCUGGUAUACAACUGCAGAAAUGGACCAAAAGUCCAUAAAGAAUGAGCCCAAAAGUUUUCUAGAUUUGGAAAAGGCCCAUCUUUUAAUUCUUCUUAUUCAUCUCCUUGUAAAUCCUAUUUGAUAAUAUGUUUGCCUUAAAUUAUUAAUUUGGUUAACUUUUAUAAAUCCCCUUCGAAUCAUUAUUUUUGUUUAUCUCUGUAUUUUUCCUUUGUUAUUUUAUAGCGUAAUAUUCGAAAUUAAUAAAAAUAUAUCUUUCUUUAUGUUUUUUCUUAAAAUAAUUUUUUCUAAAAAAAAUAAUCAAAUGACAUUUUAUUUUAUCAACGUGUCAAAGUAGUUCAUUUAAGUUAAAAAGAAUUCUCAUCGACCUAAAAUCAAUUUCCUUUGCAAAAAAUAAAAAUAUUUUCACUAAUUAGUCAAGGCUCAUAAUUUGUUUAAAUUGAUAUUUUUCUUUAAAGACAAAUAUUUUUUUAAUCAAAAAUGAUAUGUAAAAAUCACUUUAUUUCUCCCUUUUAUUUGAAAGAAUAAUUUAUGAAAAAAACGGGUUUAGCUCAACCUUCUUUAUAGGAAAUUUUCUCAAGUUAAAUUGGACUAAUUUUCACUUGGUUGACAAAUGUCAUUUUAAGUCUUCAAAAAAUAGUUAAAGGUAAUAUUUUUUAUAAAAUCAAGUCUUCGUAAAAAUUAGCCACGUUUAGUUAGUCAAGUUAGUUCUUUUUGGUAAAUCGUUUUAAACGGACGCUCCUAAGUGCCUUAAAAACCUUCUUAGAGUGUUAAUUGAACCCUUAUCCAGUUCUCUGGUUUUAAAGGCUUAUUUCUGUUAUUGAGCCUUUGAAACUCUUUUUAAGUUUUUUCGUGAUUUUUUCUAUAAAAAUUAAGUGGCGACUCUAUGAAUUUCUUAAAAUUAUUUUGAAUUUUUUUUGAAUCUUUCUCGUCAAAUGAAUCCGUAAAGAAUAAAACAAAGUUUAAGGAGGGUAGGGUUCAAAAGAGGGAUAAAAAUUGAAUGGCUUACGACUUGUGAUGUGUUUGCCAAAGAAAGGUCAAAAGGCUCAAAGUGGGUGACUAGGGAUAACAUUUAUGCGAGGGUAGACUUUUUAGGCUAGAGUGGACUUUCAAUAUCGCAAAGAUGGCCUAGGAUCAUCUCACCAACCAAGUACAAUCAAAAUUAGUCUUGAUAUACUAAUGGGGCAAGUUCUAGAUGGUACAAGUAUACAUGAGAUUUAAACAAAUAAGUUCACCGCACAUGGCAUACAAAUUCGCCAAGGAGGUUCAAUUGCCCCUCCCGUUAGAGACAAAAAUAGAGUACUUACCAAUUUUCACAAGCCAAAAUUUUGGAGUCAUAAAAAGAGAAAAAGUAUUGAUACAAGAUCGCUCAUGUCUGUACCCUUGAUUUUUGGAAAAAAAAUUAGACGGAGGGGGGUGUUUGCUUUCCAUUUGCACCACAUAUAAUUUGCUAAUUAUGGAACCAACAUAAGCCUUCGUCUCACAUGUUGGCUUUCAUACGGGCAAACCAUAUGGAUACUCAGACUUCGCCAUAGGUAUAAUUAGAUCCCAAAUUCAAAAUGCUACAGGUACUCAGAUUUUUCUUGCAUUUAUUACCUCGAUGCUACGGAUACUCAGACUUCCCCUACAUUCAUGGCUCGAAACUCAAUUACAAUGCUUUUCCCUUAAGAAUGUCCUCACUCAAUCUAUCAUAGGAAAAAGCUAGUCCGAUAUCACCAUAACCAAAAUAAAGAUAAAGUAAAAAUGUAAAAACAAACUAAACAACUAAUCCAUGAAACAUGGGCACCAGCAGAGUGCCCAAAAAAUGCAACCCAGAAACAAAAAAUUAAAAAUCAUCCAAAAAGUCAUCAAAACAUCCAAAAAUAUCUAAAUAAUAUAGAUCCGGGGGCAGGCACCCCCUACUGAAAAGCUAGCAGUGUCCUCACUGCAUAAGUAAUAGAGCAUAAAAUAGAGAUAAGGGUGCUCUCUAAAACUGCAUCAGGAGCUGCUUUCGCUUGCGGACUUGCAUCAUCUCAAUCAGCAUCAGCACCGGACUACUCAGUAGGGGCCUCAUCAUCGCUGUCCAUCCUGGGAGAAGGUAGUCUGUCUCAGAAUAUUAGCACUUUCCACAGGCCCUUUACCUCUUUCUACAUCUUACUGAAAAACUUAUCUUUCUUCUUCUCCCUUUUCUUUAUCUUCUCGUGGGAGUCCCGAAGCUUCCUGUGAUACUCUGCCAACGCUGAGUAUGCCCUUUUGAGCCUAGAAAUGGUGGCUUCUUGAGUCUGUUGGUCCUUUGGAUACUUCUCUUAAUUUGAUCGGGACACAAAUGAGUAGCGGGUGGUGGAGGGCUCUCUUUGCCUCUGGGGCAAUACUGACACAAGCCCCUUGAUGACCCUAAUAUCAACACCAAUAUCUUCAAGAGGCCCAACAGUGAAUGGCCUACAUGACUCUGACUUCUCACAUGUCGACUUUCUCAAGUCGAUCUUUCUAUUUUUCCUUUUUCUCGGUGCACCUUAACCCCAAAUUUUGAGAGGAUAAAUAGGGGUUCAGGGCGCACCCAAGUAUCUCCUGGGUAUUCCGCAACCCCAACUCUCCUGAAUAGCUCAGUGAUCAAAGAAUGGAAUAAGAGAUACAUACCACCAGGGUUUCUGAAGAACUGCAUAUCAGAUAUUACCAACAGAUAUCAUCUGACGACCAACAUUUAAAGAAAAGUUGUCGAGUAUGCAGGGAACCAUAUGGGAACGCAAAUCUGUAGUUGCAGUCAAAUGAAUGCAAGGAGAGAUCCGGCUGCAAAUGAUAUUCAGCUAUAUUCGGGCCUCAGUAGUGAAGUCAUUCAUCGAGAUGCCCCUUUUGGUUGCCACCUACAAGACCUCCUUGACUGGGCACAACCUCUCUACCAUCUAGCUUCCCGGCUCACACCCCUUAGCUUCAAUGUCAACUAUGUCUACAUUUGGGAGCCCAUAUAGAUCAUUGAUUUGUUCCACCUCAAAUUACACAUUCCUCCCCAAAUCCUGAUAACUGGGUUUUUAAAAGAUACUAUACUAAGAUUAGCGUAGAACUCUCGCACCCAUUGCUGAUGUGCCCGGCAAGGAUCCAGAGCAAAACAUCUCCACCUAUUAUCCACGAGCCUAUCAUGCAAUGCUGAAAGAUUUUUCGACACCUUCUCCAAACAUAUACUCCUUUCGGGAAGCAACUUUGUCCUUAGAAACUCAUCGUAGUAUUGGUUGUGGCACUUGGGAGUCAUGAAUCAAAUUUGGUCAUAAUUCUCAAUAAUGUAAACCUAAAAAACAUGAGUACAACAAAAAUAUUUAUCAUCAAUAUUUUCAUGCUUAAACUAGACUAUUUUGUCUUAUAAAACUCAUGGGAUGGGUACUUGGUGGUGUUUGACCAAAAAAUCAAAGUGCAGAAAUUUUGGCCUAGGCUGAGAUUCAGCCUUAGUUAUGGCGAUCACAAGCCACUGAGUUGUGAUUAUGGUGCCGCGAUCGUGACUCGAUAACUGUGAUCACUGGUUCCGCAAUCAUGAUCCCGUGACCGCAAUUAAGGUAACUAAGGCUAGAUUGGGCUAGAUUUUCAAAAGCUUCACAAUCCAAUUUUAAGGCCAAAAUAUGUUUGAAAACAACAGUUAAUCAAUAAGCAUAUCAAACAAAACUUCUAAGUUCUUAAUCAUGCCCUCACGAUGUGAAAAUAAUGAGUUAUAGACUCUUUUGGGCAUUUGAUCGGGCACUUGGUGUGCUCUCUAUACUUUACUCAAAUUCACACAUUUUUUGGAUACUCAAGAUUUUCCCACAUGUAUGCACACUAUUUUUAACAGCUUCACCACACAAGUAAGAUUUAACAAGAAUUUAGCAAGGAAAAACAUAGUUUUAGGCCCUACCUAGUUCAUGCACUCUAAGGCCUACUCACAAUAAUUAAAAACAUGAAUUUAAAGCACUUACCGGAAGAGUGAUGCAAGAUGGAUGCAAAGAUGCUUUUGAAAUGCUCAAAAUAUAGACAGGAACAUGUGUAAUUUGAGAGAAAAGUUGGAGGGGGAAUGUGAGGUAAAUAGGAGACCGGUGGUCUUUUAAACCAUGUCUGGCUGCGAUCGCGGUCAAGGUUCGCGAUCGUUGACAAGCGGAUGAUCGUGAUUGCGACAAAGACCCAACAAUCGUGUUAACAGAGGGCAUUUCUACACCUCUAUUUUCCCCUGUUCAGUCCAACAUGCAAAAAUCCCACUCUUACCCUCUUUCAAACUUAUUCAAUGCACUCUAAAGUGCCAUAAAUGCAUGGAUUAAUCAAUGACAAAAUUAAAAUCUACACUACCAAGUUAAAAAGAAAGGAUACGGGCCACUUUAUGGCGUGAUGGGUUGAUUCCCAUCGAGUGCCAAAUUUUAAUGUCGUGGCACGACACACCUUUUCAAGUAUCAUUUAUGUCUCUACUUAGAAGAUUUAAACUGACGUCCCAUCUUGCAACCAUUAUGUUUUGAGCGAAAGUCGGACAAAAGAUUCAAAUAUUCCAAAAUGAGACGAAAUAAAGUUGAGGAGGUAUUGAUGACUUCUCUAUCUCGCCACUUUGAAGACUUGAAUCGUUUACCCAACUUUACAUCAAACUCUCGAGUAGGCUCAUUGGGUAUUAGUAAGAACAUCAAAAGACUACUAGUUGAAUAUUAGAUUUUCAGCUUUCUUGUCUUCAAAUGAGGGACGUCAUCUCUCCCUUUUAAGAUGACAAACUCCAAAAUAUAAGAAUUUUGUACCCCAUUUCUCAAAUUCGCCAUUUGCUUGGGUGUCUUAACUUUCAUCACAUCCAGCAAGCAUAAUGUUUAAAAAUGAUUAGAAUGAGGUCGUUGUCCCAAUUCUGGAUUCGCAUUCAUCUUGAAAUUCUCAUCCGAAAAUGAACUAAGCCCUCACAAUGGAUUUGCUUAGCUUCUUCUUUGGACUCUAGUACCAAUUCCUUUACUGUGGCAUCCUUUAUUAGUUUUUGUUUGUUUGGUUGGCAAAUCACCAAGGAUUCUUCACUAUCAAGCUCAUAAUCAAGCUCAUGGCUUGAUAUCUUUUCUUUAUCAUCCUUAUUUUGAAGAUUGGGCAUAUACAUGACACUUGAAAGAUUGGUCUCCUCACCCACUUCUUAUUUUUCACUGUCCAUUCCAAAUGCCAUCAUGGGUUGAUUCUAGUGAUGCUGUCCUCCUUCAUUGUAGUCACUCGAUCCAUGAGAUUUAGAAGCAUUGCUGCAACAGGAUUGUAUCCGACAUGUUGUUCUUCCUUUAUCACAUCAUGAGACCUAUCAAAAUCAUAAGAACUAACAUUUUUGUUAGCAUAACUAGGGGAGGGGACAUUUGGACAAUCACUCCAAUGUCCAUCUUGACCACUACAGAAAGAACAAUUUUACUCCUUAUAGUAUUGAGAUGGUGCACACACAUUUUUUCGGGGAGCAUAUUUACAAUCUUGACAAAAGUGGGGUCCACCACAAUAUGGACAUGAAUCAUCAAGAUAAAAUUUGCAACCACCAAACUCAUAUUCAUUUCAAGAUGUCAUAGUAAUAAGCAAGUGAAAAUAAAAAUCUACCUAACACAAGAAACAAAAGAAAAUCACAAACAAAUAUUUACUAGUUUGAAUUCAAGAAACUAAGGUAAAAUUCAAACUAACUCAAUACGUCAAAUUAUUCUCCGACAAUGACGUCAUUUUUGAUAACACUGAACUCACACGUCAAUUUAAGUGCAAAGAGAUCAUUGUCAGUAUAUUACUCAACUUUGAGUCGGGAUCAAAUCCACGAGGAAUAAUGUAACUGAUGAUUGAGUAAGUUCAAAGUGAAAGUUAUUUGCUAAAUUCAAACCUAGGAUACAAGUAGUUUGGGAGAUGUUAAGAGAAUUCAAAAAGAUAACAAAUUGGAUUUCUAACUGACUAAUUUGAGGUUGAGAAUAAUUAGAGCGUAAUCAAUUAGGAACAGAUCUUGGGGCUAUGGUUUACUAGGGACAACUAGUGUGCGGGUACAUGAAAAUCAACUCCAAAUCUUAGCUAAAGUAUGCGUGGGUAGGCUCAGUUAGGGAUUUUGAUACCAUCCAUUCAAUAAAGUACCAAACUAUCAGCUAAGGAUUCUUUCGAAUACCUCGUGGGUGUGGUCAACCAAUCGUUACCAAACCUCAAUUGGGCAUUCCUAUUUCUAAGAAAAUGCCCAAAAUAUAACAAUUCCACAUUUUAUCCUUAUUUCUAAGACAAUAAAAAAAGAGUAACUAUUAUCUAUCUUAUUAUUCACAAAUCCUCAUGUUACCCACAUCCCUCUUUCAAGGAUGGCGUGGUGUUUAGAGAUAUUAAGACUUUCACCAACAAAUUCCAUUUUGCGCCCUAUUCAAUCAAGAAUUUAAGCUAACAAUCACAACCCACACACAUUUGCGCCCUAUUCAAACAUAACCCCAAGAGGGAGAACUAACUACUCAUAAGGAUAAUAAAUAAAGACAUACCAAAAUCUCCAUCAAAUAGAUUCAUGAAAGAUAAAGAAGAUGCGAAUUCAAACUUUAAGUUUCAAUAAAUCUUAAGUGGAAAAUGCUAAUCCUUCACUUAGAAGUUACUCUAAUGUAUUCUUCACCCUAUACUGGAAGAGAUUUCCAAAAAUUGGGAAUUUUUCUCUAUGAGAGAGGGUUUGGUCUCUUAAGGAAAUUGGGGACGGCUGUUGUGAAAUUACAAAACUGCCGCGUUGCCACGAUUGCUGACAUUUGUCCGUAAUCGUGGAUGCUGCAUCCGCGGUUAAAAACUCGCGAUCGCGCUUCUUUAACCUAGCAUUACUGGCUGCGAUCAUGGUCUGAGGACGACGAUCGCGGUAAUUGAGGCUGGUUUCUGCUUCAAGUCUUCUAGCUGUACUUCUUUUCUUCUUUUUGAUCCUUUUUAGCUUUAAUCCACAUCUUUCCAUCUCAUUUUUUGAUCCUUUUUAGCUUUAAUCCAUAUCUUUCCAUCUCAUAACUUGUCUGUCUGCAAAAUGUAAAAAUUAGUGCAUUUAAUCGCAAAUAUGUCUCAUUUAUACAUUCAAUUCAUAGUAGCGGGCAAGAAUGUUGAGUGCAAAUGAGUGGUAAAUUUGCCAUUCAUCAUCCACCAUUUUCACCAUCUUUGAAGCUUGAUAACUCGAAUUUGAGCAUUUUCAAAGAAAUUUUUGAGAUUUUCUUCAUGGGUAUGUUUCUAAACAUUGUAUUAUUAUUUUUCACGGAUUUCACUAUCAAUUUACCUUUAAAUCUUCAAUUCUAAAUUUUAUUUUGCAAUUUUCAUGAUAAAGUUUAAAAAUAAUAUUUUUUCAAUUUGGACCUCAUUUUUAAUUUAUUUUUACAUGAAUUUUCAGUUUUAGGUUCCUAAUGUAAUAAAAAUGUGUUUGCAAAAAUAAACUUUCAGUUUAAUCCUUUUUUAUUCGGGAUUAAUUUUUGCAUUUUUUGUAAAUUCGAAAUAAAUAUAGUUGGUGUGAGUAUCAUUGAGCCCUUUUUUGACUUAUAAAUGUCAUAUUUGAUUGGAUUGGACGCAUUUGGUGUUGAUUCAAGAGAGUUGGGAUUUCAAUUGAGGUUUUAGACUACAUUUGAAUUUGCGGAUCUUAAUUUAAGGCAUGCUAAGAUGUUCAUUGACUUUUUUCCGAAGUGUUUAUGUAUUGUAUGUUUGUUUAAUUUUUUUUUUUUGUGUAUCGCUUAGGAUUGUGGGUCCCACUUAGGUGAAAUGACGAGCAUCCCCUUGGAUACCGGAGUCUUUGAUGGAUUGUCGUUGGAUUAUUACCUUGAUUACUUAGUACUACUAUUAUUAAAUAUUCUUAGAUUGAAAUGUAGAUAGAUAACCUAGUGAUUCUCAAAUAAUGAAGAAUGGAUUGUCAUUUUAGAGCUUGAAUCUUGUUAGCGAACUUUAUUUGGAUGAUAGUGGGUUAGUGCCUUGUUAGGGGAUAAUUAUGUUAUUAUCAUCAUUAUUUUGAUGGAAUGAUUGAAUAUUUAGAGAAUACUUAGAGUAUGAAUAUACUUGUAAUAGCUGAUGAGAGUUAAUGAAUGGGCCAAGUUAGGUUUGGGUAGUCCGCAAUUUAUUAUAAUUGAGAUUGUUAUUUAUUUUGUGAUGCUCGUGUCGGGCUUAUGUGAACUUCAUUAUGGACUUGAGUAGUUAUUUGUGAUUGUAUAUCCGGGUAGGGGCUUAUAUGCAUAUUGCUUUUAAUUUGAGAGGAUAUACUAUUGUGAUGCUCGAGUGGGGGCUUGACUUGAUGUUGUUAGUCAUGUUUUGUUCAUUAAAUGACUAAUUUAUUAUUGCAUCUUUCGAGUGGAGGCUUGAUUUGACAUUGUAGUCCUUAUAUGAGUAUUUAAUUGCAUAUUCAUUACAG
rnacentral:lncRNA from 1 species